rnacentral:misc_RNA from 1 species
GUAGGUGAACCUGCGGAAGGAUCAUUCAUAAUGAGUGUUUUAUGGCACUUUUUAAAUCCAUAUCCACCUUGUGUGCAAUGUCGGUCGAUCUUCUUUAUGGAGACUUGACCAAACAUCAACCAUAUCUUUUAACUCUUUGUCUGAAAAAUAUUAUGAAUAAACAAUUCAAAAUACAACUUUCAACAACGGAUCUCUUGGCUCUC